AUCAUGGCUCAGAUUGAACGCUGGCGGCAGGCCUAACACAUGCAAGUCGAACGGUAACAGGAAGCAGCUUGCUGCUUUGCUGACGAGUGGCGGACGGGUGAGUAAUGUCUGGGAAACUGCCUGAUGGAGGGGGAUAACUACUGGAAACGGUGGCUAAUACCGCAUAACGUCGCAAGACCAAAGAGGGGGACCUUCGGGCCUCUUGCCAUCAGAUGUGCCCAGAUGGGAUUAGCUKGUUGGUGAGGUAACGGCUCACCAAGGCGACGAUCCCUAGCUGGUCUGAGAGGAUGACCAGCCACACUGGAACUGAGACACGGUCCAGACUCCUACGGGAGGCAGCAGUGGGGAAUAUUGCACAAUGGGCGCAAGCCUGAUGCAGCCAUGCCGCGUGUAUGAAGAAGGCCUUCGGGUUGUAAAGUACUUUCAGCGGGGAGGAAGGUGUUGUGGUUAAUAACCACAGCAAUUGACGUUACCCGCAGAAGAAGCACCGGCUAACUCCGUGCCAGCAGCCGCGGUAAUACGGAGGGUGCAAGCGUUAAUCGGAAUUACUGGGCGUAAAGCGCACGCAGGCGGUCUGUCAAGUCGGAUGUGAAAUCCCCGGGCUCAACCUGGGAACUGCAUUCGAAACUGGCAGGCUUGAGUCUUGUAGAGGGGGGUAGAAUUCCAGGUGUAGCGGUGAAAUGCGUAGAGA
rnacentral:rRNA from 1 species